rnacentral:rRNA from 1 species
UGGGGGAUAUUGCACAAUGGAGGAAACUCUGAUGCAGCAACGCCGCGUGAGGGAAGAAGGUCUUCGGAUUGUAAAGCUCUGUCUUCAGGGACGAUAAUGACGGUACCUGAGGAGGAAGCCACGGCUAACUACGUGCCAGCAGCCGCGGUAAUACAUAGGUGGCAAGCGUUGUCCGGAUUUACUGGGCGUAAAGGGAGCGUAGGUGGAUAUUUAAGUGGGAUGUGAAAUACUCGGGCUUAACCUGGGUGCUGCAUUCCAAACUGGAUAUCUAGAGUGCAGGAGAGGAAAGUAGAAUUCCUAGUGUAGCGGUGAAAUGCGUAGAGAUCGGGAGGAACACCAGUGGCGAAGGCGGUCUACUGGGCCUUAACUGACGCUGAGGCACGAAAGCAUGGGUAGCAAACAGG